rnacentral:rRNA from 1 species
AUGUCCGUAGCCAUGGCCGGAGAGAUCCUUUCCACCCAAACCGUGCUUGUCGUCGCCGCCGGUUCCGGCUUGCUUCCCGGCGAACAUGGUCUUGAGGUAAGCCUUGGAGGCCUUGAGCUGGCGGCCGAGGUUGAGCUGCCUGACGAACCGGAGCCUCCUGGACCAGGGCUUCUUCUCGCCGCCGGCCGCCGACGCGGCGUCGUCGUCGUCGGCGAGAGCCAUGCCGGCCGCGUACUCCCGGAAGAACUCCUCCACGUUGAGCUCCCCGCUGACAAAGCACGAGUUGGCCGGCGAGACGCCGCGGGAGCGCUCGCACGGCGUGGCGGGGGCGGUGCUGACGGCGAGGCCGCCGAGACGCGGCCCGGCCCUGGCCCGGACGCCGUCGAGGAGGAGCUCCUCGACCAUCUGGACGCGCGGCGGCAUGUGCAGCGGCAGCAGCUUGCCCUUGUAGAAGAGCUCGUCGGCCGGGGACGCGAGCGGCGGCUGGCCCGACCUGUCCAGCGGCGCGGACAUGUGGAAGUGGAACUCGAACUCCCUCCCCGCCGCGGGGCUCAGGUCCAUGUUGAUGUACUCCUCCUCCAGCCCGUCCCCAUAGACCUCCUCCCCUCGCCUGCUCGCCAUCGUCAGCCCUCGCCUGGUAAGCUCUGUGGUCGCUGUGCCUCACUCGCUCCGCUGCUCUCGACACUGGCUGGGACGGGCAGAAAUGGCAGUGGCAUCCAUGGGUGGGGGCGCUCUUAUACCGAAGACGGACCCGAGCUUUGCCCGCCCUGGUUGUGGGGGCUACCUACCCAGCAAACUAAACUAGCAUUGCUGGUCCGUCCGCAUGAUCCGAGUCUUGUUUGCAUCCUGCACGUACGUCCCCUGGUGCUUUGUUUGCUCACUGUCUGCGUGCUCGGUCUCUGGCUUUAUCCGUGUCGUGCUGCCCCCCUCCACGCAUUGCAUUGCUCUUUUCCCUUGCUCUUUUCCCUCGAGGGAAAAUCGGCUUUGGCGGUCGGACAAGUACCGCCACUAGUGACUGAUUACUCGAUUAGGACCGCUCUUUUCUUUUGCUUUCGCCCCCUCUCUCCGCUCCUCCACGCUUCUCUUCUUUACAUGCAUGGCUAUCGGGCUAUCUAG